GUGAAUUUACCAUAGCUCACCAUCGCCACCUAAUGCCACAUUUUUAUACUGCACUUUAUAACAUUUUAUUUGCGGGUGUAUAACUGAGUCCAAUGGCUUUAAAUUUCCAUUUACUCCUUUGCAUGUCACUGCAAGUGUCUCUAAUAUUCUCCAGGUUCUUGCUUUCUAUUCAUCUUCUUCCCAAUCAGCAGAGGUGAUAAUUUAAUGUUGUUGCCCUAACAGGAGUUGUGAACAGAUCGCAGAAUCUAUGCACCCUGGAAGGACCUAAGUUACAAACCUCAGCAAUCCAGUUAAGGGGAGUUGACAGAUGCCAGAGCAGGGUGAUUGCUACUUAAUGCAAGGAGGAGAGGAGAGAGAGCCCUGCUUAAACCUGAAUACUGCCUGUCAACUAAUAAAAAAUGAAGUUUAAGAUUGGCAGCACCCAUUUGCAAAAUCUAUUACUUGCCCAUCUCCAGCCCAUUAAGAUAAAGAGCAGUGAACGACUGGGAUGGGAGUAGGGAUGACUACAGUAAGACAAAUGAGAGCAGGCAGAAAAGCGUUAUCCAUCACUACACAGAUAAUAGCAGCCCUUUCCUUGUAUCUAAUUUUGGCAACAUGCUAUCUGCUUUGUUUUCCACUUACUUCUCUUCUAACCUCAGACAACUUUUCUCGUUUGUUCAGUGCAGAAGGUUAAAAGCACCACCUUCCUAUUGCCUGCUUUCACACCAGCCAUGCCCCUGAUAGCAUCCCAAGUAUUUUUCAUUCCUCUUGGCUUAUGUUUGCUAGUGUGGUCCUCCUUUCAAAGUGAAUGGCUGCUCUCUGAAGCAAGGAGAAUUCACAACGGAAAGAAAAAGAAAUAAGCAGAUUCUCCCAACUUCUGGGACUGAGUGCAAGAUGAAAGAAGAGGAGUGUGGCUGUGCAUCUGAUCAGGCAUUUCGAUACCAUAAACAAUGUGAGCUGCUCUCUGCUCCUUAAUUCCCCUCGGGCCCCCAGUUAUUUAUGAUGAGAUGCAGUCUUUGUUGUAGCUGGUUAUUUCAAUUGGCCUUGUUUUAUUUUGCUCUUUACAACAUGCGGUUACUCACUUGGGGCAGACUGCAGGAUAGAAAUUCAAGUAAGGAAAUAAAUAAACUGAAGGGCUUAGCAGGAAGAGAGCUAUCAGUUUAUUCAAAGCAGCAAAAAAGACAAGUCUUUUCCUGAGUUCAGAACAAAGAGAAAGCUUCCGUAUGUUCUUCAUGAGAAAUAUUUUUU